rnacentral:rRNA from 1 species
UACAGAGGGUGCAAGCGUUAAUCGGAAUUACUGGGCGUAAAGCGUGCGUAGACGGUUAUUUAAGUCAGGUGUGAAAGCCCCGGGCUCAACCUGGGAAUUGCAUUUGAGACUGAAUAGCUAAGGUGCGGAAGAGGGAAGCGGAAUUUCCGGUGUAGCGGUGAAAUGCGUAGAUAUCGGAAGGAACACCAGUGGCGAAAGCGGCUUCCUGGUCCAGCACCGACGUCAGGCACGAAAGCGUGGGGAGCAAACAGG